GGAAGGAGAAAUGAGAGGGAGGCCUCUGUCUCCUAAUCUUUUCCAUAGGCUGCUGUUUUCUUUCUUUCCUCAUGAGGAAUAUCGAUAAAAACAAAAUAAACAAAUUAGCUACCACUUCUGAAAAUCCCCAGGAAAUUCCUUUUCCAGAGUUCUCACUUACUAAUUUGGCUAACAUUACCUCUGGUAACAGACCCCAUGUAUCUGCCACAAUUGCUGUGAGUUGCACAGGAAAAAGACUGGGAGGAAAUCUUCACUUUUCUUCUGCAACAGCAACCAACAGAAAUGAAAGAGCCAGGGGAUUUUGCAAAAUAUCAACUCCUGAGAACUAAGAACGAGAGCCCUUCUUGCCAAGCCUAUUCUGUGCCAGUCAUCAUAAAAUACUCUUCCUGUGAGCAUAACCCUAGCAAUGCUUCUUCACAAUGGCUGCAGCAGUUCCUCCCCAUUGCAGCAGCUGAAUUUGACUUGCAGUUUCUCUAAUGCUUGCAAGAGACACCAGUCUCAACAGAAGAGAACCUCUUCCUCAGAGGUCUGAGUUUCAGCUACGCACGGACCUUCCUCUGAGUUUCUAAGAUUAAUGAUUCCAAUCUCUGUCAUUGUUUGUCCAAUCCUAAGAAUAGAAACUACUUCCUGUAGUUGCUGUUUUCAUGAUACCUUAGUUAUUUGACUGAACAACUGUACGGCUUGUUAACAGUUAUUUAUAUUAAAUUAUCUGUGUCCUUA